GAUGAACGCUGGCGGCGUGCCUAAUACAUGCAAGUCGAGCGAACAGAUCAGGAGCUUGCUCCUUUGACGUUAGCGGCGGACGGGUGAGUAACACGUGGGUAAACUAACUAUAAGACUGGGAUAAUUUCGGGAAACCGGAGCUAAUACCGGAUAACAUUUGGAACCGCAUGGUUCUCAAGUGAAAGAUGGUUUUGCUAUCACUUAAAGAUGGACCCGCGCUGUAUUAGCUAGUUGGUAAGGUAACGGCUUACCAAGGCAACGAUACGUAGCCGACCUGAGCGGGAGGACGGCCACACGGUAUCAGAGACACGGCCCAGACUCCUAGGGGGGGCAGCAGUAGGGAAUCUUCCGCAAUGGGGCAAAGCCUGACGGUGCAACGCCGGGUGAAGGAUGAUGGGUUUCUGCUCGUAGAACUAUGAAAGUAUGGAAGAAGAAAAGUGUAAUUAACUGUGCACGUCUUGACGGUACCGAAUCAGAAAGCCACGGCUAACUACGUG
rnacentral:rRNA from 1 species